rnacentral:rRNA from 1 species
UACGUAGGUGGCAAGCGUUGUUCGGAAUUAUUGGGCGUAAAGCGCGCGCAGGCGGUCCUUUAAGUCUGAUGUGAAAGCCCACGGCUCAACCGUGGAGGGUCAUUGGAAACUGGGGGACUUGAGUGCAGAAGAGGAAAGUGGAAUUCCAAGUGUAGCGGUGAAAUGCGUAGAGAUUUGGAGGAACACCAGUGGCGAAGGCGACUUUCUGGUCUGUAACUGACGCUGAGGCGCGAAAGCGUGGGGAGCAAACAGG